rnacentral:rRNA from 1 species
CAGCCGCCACGGUAAUACAGAGGGUGCGAGCGUUAAUCGGAUUUACUGGGCGUAAAGCGUGCGUAGGCGGCUUCUUAAGUCGGAUGUGAAAUCCCUGAGCUUAACUUAGGAAUUGCAUUCGAUACUGGGAAGCUAGAGUAUGGGAGAGGAUGGUAGAAUUCCAGGUGUAGCGGUGAAAUGCGUAGAGAUCUGGAGGAAUACCGAUGGCGAAGGCAGCCAUCUGGCCUAAUACUGACGCUGAGGUACGAAAGAAUGGGGAGCAAACAGGAUUAGAUACCCCAGUAGUCCCUGUCUCUUAUAC